rfam:Musa acuminata subsp. malaccensis Doubled-haploid Pahang (DH-Pahang) genomic chromosome, chr10
GGGUCUAUAGCUCAGUGGUAGAGCAUUCGACUGCAGAUCGAAUGGUCACCGGUUCAAACCCGGUUGGGCCCU